CCUUUGAAGCCCCGCCUCCGUCGAGCGCGCGGCGGUAACUGCUACGGUGGCCCACGAGGGAAAAAAUAGAAAAGGAAUACGUUUUUUUUAAAAAAACGAUAAAAGGAAGGCGGAAGAGGACGAUAGUUCUAUCCACCCUCAAAGCCCCGCUACGGCGUGAGAAGAAGGACAAAAAGGAUGAUAAUAAUAAUAAUAACAAAAGAAAGGGGGGAGUGCGCGCGCAAAUUCUCUUAAAGAGACAGGAUCAUAUAUUUUUUUGGACUUAUGGGGAUCCUCUCAUAGGGUUUCCUUGGAGUCUCCUCUUUGUUUUCAAAGCGCUGGAGAACUCAUUAUUUUUCCUCGCAGGGUGAAUUUUUCCUAUCUGCUGAGAAGUAAACCCCUUGGCAUGAUUCGAUGGGGUUUCCAUCCUCAAGAAUGCAGCCUGGCAGGGCCUGGAGGAGUCAUCCCUUCAUUCAAAUGCAAAAUCAGGCGGGAGAAAGCUGCCUUGAACAAUGAGCAAAGAAAGGAGAGAAGUGAG